UAGAGACCACAUCGCUGCCGCAGAGGCACACCGGGAGCAUCCUGCUGACUUACCCAGCUCGGGCUGCAGUCCUUUAAGCAAUACAAAACGCAGCCAUUUCCUCAAACCCUAACUUCAUCGCUGAUGUAGAUUCUUCUCAACCUAACAGCUUAGCCUGGGUUUCAUGAAGCACUGGCUAACUAGCCAUAUUGAACUGCGGAGGGAGCCUGUGGAUGAGCUCCCCACCCGUUAGCCUCCUCCUCACUCUCCCCUCUGUGUGCCCUGCUGCAUCCUGCCUAGAUGCAAGAGCAGCUCGCCGGAGGCUUCCACCUCGGCUCCCAGGGGGACAUCCUGCAAAAUGAAUCAGCAGCCAUCCUGAGCAGGCUGAUUAAAAUGAAAAUGGCAAGGCACAUGUCUGGGCGGAACUGGAGCUCAGCUUUGUUGCCUGUCUGACAAGCAAGCUCAAUAUAGCUCUUGCUAAUAAUGGCUUACUGCCUUUCGGUUUUUAAAAAGGGCAGGCUGAUGCACUGAUGUGUGGUCCUUAAGAUAAGUUGUCCCUGGAAUCUGCUGCAACAGCACUCUGCUCUCAACACACCACUACUGCAUUGACUUCAACCUCAU